AACGAACGCUGGCGGCAUGCCUAACACAUGCAAGUCGAACGAGACCUUCGGGUCCAGUGGCGCACGGGUUCGUAACGCGUGGGAACCUGCCCUUAGGUUCGGAAUAACUCCCCGAAAGGGGUGCUAAUACCGGAUAAUGUCUUCGGCCCAAAGAUUUAUCGCCUUUGGUUGGGCCCGCGUUGGAUUAGCUUGUUGGUAGGGUAAAAGCCUACCAAGGCGACGAUUAAUAGCUGGUCUGAGAGGAUGAUCAGCCACACUGCGACGGAGACACGGCACAGAAUCCUACGGGAGGCAGGAGAGGGGAAUAUUGGACAAUGGGCGAAAGCAUGAUCCAGCAAUGCCGCGUGAGUGAUGAAGGCCUUAGGGUUGUAAAGCGCUAUUACCCGGGAUGAUAAUGACAGUACCGGGAGAAUAAGCUCCGGCUAACUCCGUG
rnacentral:rRNA from 1 species